CAGUUCAAUUUCGUGGGGUUCUACAACGGCUGGAACAAGUUUCUGAAGGAGGACACAACGCAGGCGUUCGUUUUCACGGACCGGGCCAAGGAUGCGAGCGUGGUUGUGGUGGCGUUCCGUGGCACGGAGCCAUUCAACAUGCAGGACUGGUCGACGGACGUGAACCUGUCGUGGCUGGGCAUGGGCGCCAUGGGCCACGUCCACGCCGGCUUCCUCAAGGCGCUGGGCCUCCAGGAGGAGGACGGCAAGGACGCCAACCGCGCCUUCCCCAAGGACGCCCCCAACGGCGCCGCCCCAGUCGGCAAGGCCAUCGCCUACUACAAGCUCCGCGAGGUGAUCCGCGACCAGCUCAAGGCGCACCCGCAGGCGCGGCUCGUGAUCACCGGCCACAGCCUCGGCGGCGCGCUCGCCGCCGUCUUCCCGGCGCUUCUGGCGCUGCACGGGGAGUCCGAGAUCCUGGGCAGGCUCGGCACCGUGCAGACCUACGGGCAGCCGCGCGUGGGCGACGCCACCUUCGUCAGCUUCUUCCGCGCCGAGGUGGAGAAGGCGACGGCCUUCUACCGCGUGGUGUACCGGUACGACGUGGUGUCGCGGGUGCCGUUCGACGCGCCGCCCGUCGCGGAGUUCGCCCACGGCGGCUCCUGCGUCUACUACGACGGGUGGUACGACGGGAAGGUGCUCCCCGGCGACGUGCCCAACCCCAACUACUUCGACCCGCGCUACCUGCUCUCCAUGUACGGCAACGCGCUCGGGGACCUGGUGAAGGGGGCCUUCCUCUGGACCAAGGCCGGCAAGGACUACCGUGAGGGCCCCGUCUCCCUGCUCUACCGCGCCUCCGGCCUGCUCGUCCCCGGCCUCGCCUCCCACAGCCCGCGCGACUACGUCAACGCCGUCCGCCUCGGCCGCAUCGCACCCAAGUCACUCCUCUAA
rnacentral:rRNA from 1 species